UCAGCAGCAGCAAUAUCGAGGACGAUUUCCGUUAAUCACAGCGGGCGUGGUGACUUCAAGCAUAUUCAACAAGCAAUAGAUUCCAUUCCGGAUGGUAAUUCUGAGUGGAUCCGUAUCCACGUUGCAGCGGGGACGUACAGGGAGAAGGUGCACAUAAAAUCAAACAAGCCGUUUAUAGUUCUAGAAGGGGAGGGCCGAGAUCACUACUAUCGGAGUUUCAACAGAGUGUCUACUUUCAAAUCAGCGACGUUUCGGUGCGACGCCUCCGAUUUCCAGGCACGGAAUAUAACGUUCAAGAACACUUAUACAAUUGAUAACAACACGGUGCCAGCCGUGGCUGCUCAAGUGUCAGGAGAUCGAUCCGCGUUCUACAACUGUGGAUUCGUGGUCCAGGACACGCUGAAUGACCAGCAAGGUCGCCAUUACUACGAGAAUUGCUACCUUGAGGGUGCGGUAGAUUUUAUCUUCGGCCAUGCAAGAUCAAUCUUUCAGGGCUGCACGUUGUGGACAUGCAAGCUACCAUCGUGGAAGUAUACUGGCUUCCUCACGGCUCAAGGGCGCGAAUCGUUGAGUGAAGAUAAUGGGUUCGUUUUUAAGGAGUGCACCGUAGAUGGCGUCACGCCGGUCUACUUGGGGCGUGGGUGGCGAUUCUGUUCCACGGUGAUCUUCUAUCGAACUUUUUUGUCUAACAUCAUCGUCCCCCAGGGAUGGGACGCCUGGAAUGCCAAGGGUCAUGAGACCUCGCUGACAAUGUUGGAGUCGGAGUGCACGGGGCCAGGAUCCAACAGGACAGGCCGAGUCCCUUGGUCCAGGGUAGCCAGCGGCACAGAGGUCGCCAGGUUCACCGACAUAAACUACGUCUCCAGUGAUGGAUGGCUAGAGCCGCAGCCGCACUAG
rnacentral:rRNA from 1 species